AUAUGCUUGUCCCGAAGCUUAAGCCAUGCAUGUCUCCGAUUAACUAGUAGCAUCCCCGAAUCUGCGAACGGCUCCGUAUAUCUGUUGUAAUCCCCCCACCACCCAGGCCCCGAGGCAAUAACCACGGUAAUUCUGUGGCUAAUACAUGUAACACCGGGCCGUCCCCCCUCUUCGGGUGGGCGGUCUGGACUUGCCGGCUGACCAAUGGGGGGCAACCUCCGGCGUGAGUGCUGGCAAGCGACCCUAACCGCGGCUAGCCUGUGGUGUGUGUGACGGGCUUCAGACCUAUCAACUAGAUGGCCGGGGAUAGCCCGGCCAUGGUCGCAACGGGUACAGAGGAUCAGGGUUCGGUCCUGGAGAGGUAGCCUGAGAGAUCGCUACUACUUCUAAGGAAGGCAGCAGGCGCGCAACGUUCCCAAUGGGGAUACCCUGAGGACGUGAAGGGACAUACCAAUGCCCGGCCCUUAAAGCCGGGCAAUUGGAAUGGGGGACGCUCAAACCCCACACCGAGUAACAAUUGGAGGACAAGUCUGGUGCCAGCACCCGCGGUAAUUCCAGCUCCAAUAGCAUCUAAUUAAGUUGUUGCAGUUAAAACGCUCGUAGUUGAAGUCGGUGCGCCCUGGGGCUCGCCUAGUACCGCCGGGGGAGGGGCCCGGACAUGGCCGCAAGGCUAUGUCCGGGCCCGCCCCCGACCGGGGAAAGCAGGACCCGGGGCGCACCAGACGCUGGGGGACCAGGCCGCAUGGGGCUUCAGUGCCCUGGUGGCUACCCCCGGCACUCUACUUUGAAUAAAUGUAUGCGCUCCACGCAGGCCAUUGUGGCCACUGAAACCUGCAGCAAAGAAUAAUGAAACAGGGGCUUGCCCUGGUCAUUGGUAAGGGCGGGUCAAUGAUCUAUAGGGGCGAUCGGGGUGGGCCACAUGGCGGGGGUAGGGGUGAAAUCCGUUGAUCCUCGCCAGGUGAACUAGAGCGAAAGCAGCCCACAAGUACGCAUCCUUUGAUCAAGAACGAAAGUCUGGGGAUCGAAGAUGAUCAGAUACCAUCGUAGUCCAGACCCUAAAUCAUGCCGGCCAUGGAUGGGCCCUCGUCCAUCCCGACCCGACCCGCACCUUGUGGGAAACCAUAAGCGUUUGGGCUCCGGGGGGAGUAUGGUCGCAAGACUGAAACUUAAAGGAAUUGACGGAAGAGCACACAAGGAGUGGAGCCUGCGGCUUAAUUUGACUCAACACGGGGAAACUCACUAGGGCAGGAGGGGGGUAGGAUGGACAGCCGAUCAGGGCUUUCCUGAUUCCUCCAGUGGUGGUGCAUGGUCGUUCUUAGUUCGUGGAUUGAUUUGUCUGGUCUAUUCCGCUAACGAGCGAGAACCCACCCGUCGAGGUUGGGCACCCGGGCAUGCCGGGGGGGGGAAGUCUACGGGUGUGGCUCGCAAGGGCCAUGUCCGCGGGCGCCCGCUCCUGGCUGCGAACACCCGGGGGCUCGCCCCGGAGGGACUGGUACCGCUAAGGUGCCGGCAGCGGGUCAAUAACAGGUCAGUGAUGCCCUUAGAUGCUCUAGGCCGCACGCGCGCUACAAUGGGGCGAAUACCGGGCUCCCUGUGCCGGAGGGCGGUGGGGAAUCCGGGAAAGCGCCCCGUAUCCGGGACAGCGCCGUGUAACUCGGCGCUCGAACAAGGAA
rnacentral:rRNA from 1 species